AAUAGAUACCCCGGUAGUCCACGCCGUAAACGAUGGAUACUAGCUGUUUGAGCGCAAGUUUGAGUGGCUAAGCGAAAGUGAUAAGUAUCCCACCUGGGGAGUACGGGCGCAAGCCUGAAACUCAAAGGAAUUGACGGGGGCCCGCACAAGCGGUGGAGCAUGUGGUUUAAUUCGAUGAUACGCGAGGAAUCUUACCAGGGCUUAAAUGUAGAUUGACGUAUUUGGAAACAGAUAUUUCUUCGGACAAUUUACAAGGUGCUGCAUGGUUGUCGUCAGCUCGUGCCGUGAGGUGUCAGGUUAAGUCCUAUAACGAGCGCAACCCCUGUUGUUAGUUGCCAGCGAGUAAUGUCGGGAACUCUAGCAAGACUGCCAGUGUAAACUGUGAGGAAGGUGGGGAUGACGUCAAAUCAUCACGGCCCUUACGUCCUGGGCCACACACGUGCUACAAUGGCCGGUACAGAGAGCAGCCACUUAGCGAUAAGGAGCGAAUCUAUAAAGCCGGUCACAGUUCGGAUCGGAGU
rnacentral:rRNA from 1 species